GGCUUAGUGGUGGAUGGUCCACACCUGCUUCUAAUAUCUGAUUUGUAAUUGCCCAGCAGGUCCAGGGGAAGCCUAUUCGAAUCAGGCCUGAGCCA